UACGUAGGGGGCAAGCGUUGUCCGGAAUCAUUGGGCGUAAAGGGCGCGUAGGCGGAUAUUUAAGUCUGGUGUGAAAACCUAGGGCUCAACCCUGGGACUGCAUCGGAAACUGGGUAUCUUGAGGACAGGAGAGGAAAGUGGAAUUCCACGUGUAGCGGUGAAAUGCGUAGAUAUGUGGAGGAACACCAGUGGCGAAGGCGACUUUCUGGACUGUAACUGACGCUGAGGCGCGGAAGCGUGGGGAGCAAACAGG
rnacentral:rRNA from 1 species